UAAUACGGAGGGUGCGAGCGUUGUUCGGAAUUAUUGGGCGUAAAGGGCACGUAGGCGGCCGCUUAAGUCUCUUGGUGAAAGGCCGGGGCUCAACCCCGAGCAAGCCGGGGAUACUGGGGGGCUGGAGACAGGUAGAGGCCAGCGGAAUUCCGGGUGUAGCGGUGGAAUGCGUAGAGAUCCGGAAGAACACCGGAGGCGAAGGCGGCUGGCUGGACCUGAUCUGACGCUGAGGUGCGAAAGCGUGGGGAGCGAACAGGAUUAGAUACCCUGGUAGUCCACGCCGUAAACGAUGGAGACUAGAUGCCGGGGGGAUCGAGCCCUUCGGUGUCGGAGCUAACGCGUUAAGUCUCCCGCCUGGGGAGUACGGCCGCAAGGCUG
rnacentral:rRNA from 1 species